CCGACCUCAGAUCAGGCGGGACUACCCGCCGGAUUUAAGCAUAUUAAUAAGCGGAGGAGAAGAAAACAACCGUGAUUCCCCCAGUAGCGGCGAGCGAAC
rnacentral:rRNA from 1 species